CGGAACGGGUGAGUAAUGCGUGACCAACCUGCCCCAUGCUCCAGAAUAGCUCUUGGAAACGGGUGGUAAUGCUGGAUGCUCCAACUUGACGCAUGUCUUGUUGGGAAAGUGUUUAGUGGCAUGGGAUGGGGUCGCGUCCUAUCAGCUUGUAGGCGGGGUAAUGGCCCACCUAGGCUUCGACGGGUAGCCGGCCUGGGAGGGCGGACGGCCACAUUGGGACUGAGAUACGGCCCAGACUCCUACGGGAGGCAGCAGGC
rnacentral:rRNA from 1 species